rnacentral:rRNA from 2 species
AGAGUUUGAUCAUGGCUCAGAUUGAACGCUGGCGGCAGGCCUAACACAUGCAAGUCGAACGGUAACAGGAAGCAGCUUGCUGCUUUGCUGACGAGUGGCGGACGGGUGAGUAAUGUCUGGGAAACUGCCUGAUGGAGGGGGAUAACUACUGGAAACGGUAGCUAAUACCGCAUAACGUCGCAAGACCAAAGAGGGGGACCUUCAGGCCUCUUGCCAUCGGAUGUGCCCAGAUGGGAUUAGCUAGUAGGUGGGGUAACGGCUCACCUAGGCGACGAUCCCUAGCUGGUCUGAGAGGAUGACCAGCCACACUGGAACUGAGACACGGUCCAGACUCCUACGGGAGGCAGCAGUGGGGAAUAUUGCACAAUGGGCGCAAGCCUGAUGCAGCCAUGCCGCGUGUAUGAAGAAGGCCUUCGGGUUGUAAAGUACUUUCAGCGGGGAGGAAGGCGUUGUGGUUAAUAACCACAGCGAUUGACGUUACCCGCAGAAGAAGCACCGGCUAACUCCGUGCCAGCAGCCGCGGUAAUACGGAGGGUGCAAGCGUUAAUCGGAAUUACUGGGCGUAAAGCGCACGCAGGCGGUCUGUCAAGUCGGAUGUGAAAUCCCCGGGCUCAACCUGGGAACUGCAUUCGAAACUGGCAGGCUAGAGUCUUGUAGAGGGGGGUAGAAUUCCAGGUGUAGCGGUGAAAUGCGUAGAGAUCUGGAGGAAUACCGGUGGCGAAGGCGGCCCCCUGGACAAAGACUGACGCUCAGGUGCGAAAGCGUGGGGAGCAAACAGGAUUAGAUACCCUGGUAGUCCACGCCGUAAACGAUGUCGACUUGGAGGUUGUGCCCUUGAGGCGUGGCUUCCGGAGCUAACGCGUUAAGUCGACCGCCUGGGGAGUACGGCCGCAAGGUUAAAACUCAAAUGAAUUGACGGGGGCCCGCACAAGCGGUGGAGCAUGUGGUUUAAUUCGAUGCAACGCGAAGAACCUUACCUACUCUUGACAUCCAGAGAACUUACCAGAGAUGCAUUGGUGCCUUCGGGAACUCUGAGACAGGUGCUGCAUGGCUGUCGUCAGCUCGUGUUGUGAAAUGUUGGGUUAAGUCCCGCAACGAGCGCAACCCUUAUCCUUUGUUGCCAGCGGUUAGGCCGGGAACUCAAAGGAGACUGCCAGUGAUAAACUGGAGGAAGGUGGGGAUGACGUCAAGUCAUCAUGGCCCUUACGAGUAGGGCUACACACGUGCUACAAUGGCGCAUACAAAGAGAAGCGACCUCGCGAGAGCAAGCGGACCUCAUAAAGUGCGUCGUAGUCCGGAUUGGAGUCUGCAACUCGACUCCAUGAAGUCGGAAUCGCUAGUAAUCGUGGAUCAGAAUGCCACGGUGAAUACGUUCCCGGGCCUUGUACACACCGCCCGUCACACCAUGGGAGUGGGUUGCAAAAGAAGUAGGUAGCUUAACCUUCGGGAGGGCGCUUACCACUUUGUGAUUCAUGACUGGGGUGAAGUCGUAACAAGGUAACCGUAGGGGAACCUGCGGUUGGAUCACCU